CGGAGCGUGGCGCAGCCUGGUAGCGCAACGGUCUGGGGGACCGUAGGUCGCAGGUUCAAAUCCUGCCGCUCCGACCA
rnacentral:tRNA from 4 species